rnacentral:lncRNA from 1 species
UCUGUGUGUUUCCCAUUGCUGCAAGAAGGCUGAGCUGAAACUGGUCUUCUUUUGAGCUCAUCUCAUUUUUAGCAGUAAGCUGCAUGAAGGAAAUGGGGUCGUCCGGCUGAACUGUCACGUUCCUUUUCUCUGAUUCUUUCUUCUGGGAAAGCUUCUCUUCUUCUAGCUUGGCUGACAGCAUAUGAGAGAGGGACUGUCUGCAUUCUUUGUU